AAGUCUUCCCACUUCCUAGUCAUCAGGAUGACCGAUUCAUUGGACAAGUUGGUAAGGAUGUAUAUCCGGGAGAUAGUCAGAUUGCAUGGGGUUCCAGUGACAGUAGUAUCCGACAGCGAUCCCAGGUUCACCUCUCGAUUUUAGAGUAGCUUCCAGCAAGUUAUGAGAACAAAGCUGUCUCUUAGUACUGCCUUCCAUCC
rnacentral:lncRNA from 1 species